UGGAAAUUCCAGAACACGUUCCAAGUACAUUUCUAAACUGUUUACAGUGUCCUCUGUGGCUCAACUCUUGGAUUGACUUAGUAGCUGCAACAUGCACAGUGUCAUUCCCAGCAAACCUGUUGUUGAUCUACUGGUUCGUUAUUCAGGCCGUUUUCUUGACAUACUGUAUCAUCUUUUGAGAUUAAAUGUUCCCCUGAUUUCAAAUGGAAUUUAUGAGGGCAACCGGGCCGCUAUUACAUUGCCGAACUAUUAAAUGUCAGUACUAAAAUCCAGUAGACAGAAAACGAAAAAAAAAAAAAAUGCAUAUUUUCAAAAUAUGCUUAUACGGGUUUAUAAAAUAGGCUAACAGAUAAAUCACCCCCAGAUCCACAGAUUCAAUAAAAAGACACGAUCCAGAACGAAUACCAUAAAAUUUUACUUUCUUAUGCAUACUAAAAAUGAAAUAUAAAACAAACAAGGGGAUUUUGUUUGUAACUUAGAAAUGAGAUUCGUUUAGUUUGUGAGUAAAAAUGCCAAACAGCUGCAUUUUUGUCCUGGUUAGAUUGUGAGUUCAUUCCCGGAGCAUGACCAAUGAGUGCACAUCAUUGUUUUUAUUUGAAAUGUCCUAGACCAAUAUAAUACGACAAAGCUGUGUACACACACACACAUUAUGUUUGUAUGCAUGAGUUGUUCUAGAACAGUCUCUGGGAUUGUGGCUGAAAUGAAUGUCUGCAGAUGCACAUAAAUAUCUACACUGAGAGAUUGUUCAUCUAGAGUGCACAGACGUUGUGGGGGUAAUCCAUUUUAUGAAGCAGCUGUGUGAAUCCCAGACAGGGAAGGGCAUCACUGGGAUAGGCAGUGUAGCCUGGACAAGAGGCUGAGCUGCUUCUGCACAAGACAGAUGUUAACGGAGAGCCAGGGCUACCACCUGUGUCAACGGAGAGCGUCGCAUUGCCCAGGAACCUGUGGAAAACAUUCCUUUGCUGACCUUCUUUUGGGUUUUUUUCCUUACACCUGAACCCGGGUACUAUCCCCGGUCCUCAUGGCUAAUGAGGAAAUGCUUAGGGUUUCCAAGGCGACGAGAUCUGACUUCACACAGGUGUGCGAUCCACACCGCCGUCUCUCUGCCCCACCUUACAUUUCUUCAUGCUUUCUUCACUUUCCCAGUAGGCCAGGCACCUACUGGGACCUAGAGAGACUGCCCCUGCAACAACUACCCUCCACACACCCCAAUGGGUGAGGACUACCUCGCCUUCUGCACGCGGUGUGGGCCCGACGGAGAGAAGAAAUGAACAGUGUGAGAACGUGAAGUGAAACCACGCAGGUUUAUGGGUUCUUUAAAGCAGCGUAAUCCCACAAGUUUGCUUGGGGCUUAGGAAAAAGAGCAGUCAAAACACGUAAACUGUUUAAUUACCCAGAACCACCCGGUACCUUGUGUUUCCUUUUUCUGUUCAUCCUGUCACCGCCGUCCAUCUGGUUUUGUAUUGCAGCAGCAUGCUACAGUCUGACAUAGCAUUUGGUGACUCUACUUGUAAAAACUGCAAUUACUUGUUAUAUGAGACCUCAAACUAAGUGAUGUAACUCUCAAAUAAUAUAUUUAACAGGUCAGGUAAUCACGUAAUGGCCGUUGGCUGUUUUUAUUGUCUUUAUGGGAUAUUUGAAGACCACAUUCUUCGAAAUGAUCAUGGUUUUCCGUAUUUUUUUCUUCAUAUUCAAGACCCUCAUUUAGUGAAGUACAGUCUGUAAUGUCUUAUAUUAUUUCUCAUGAAUCCGGCCUUCAGUUCACUGUCUGAAAGAAGGACGAACUUGGAAAGAAAAAUAAGGUUGUAAGACGUUGCCUUGAUGAGUAAAACUUGAAGAGUUGCUGGGAGCUGAGCUCUAAACUAGAGAAGAAAUCGGUUGUUAGAGAAUAUUUCUUGUUUGCUUUUGUGGGCUGAGACUGACGUCUUCCUGAGGGCUAGCGUCUGGGUAGGUGAGCGGUAAUGGAAUGUGGUUACGAGGGGGGGCAUGUAAGGGGUCGCUUGGUACUCCUCAGCCACUAUUCUGUGGUUACUAUUUAGCUCUCUCUGUCACCCCUUUCCGUUUUAACUUAACGGCGUGAGACGAGAGCCCUGCAUUGGUGUCAAAGGCACGUUCGUGAAAAACAUCACCUGGGUGUCCUGUGUUGACGCGAAGGGCUGCCUUGGGAUUCUGUACGGAAAUAAACUCUUCCUGCUUUCCAUGGAUCCUGUACAAACCCCCCCCCCCCCCCCCCCGAAAGGCACAAAAAUACCACAUCCCUUUUCUUUAUUUUUGGCGUGUACUAGAAUCAAAAGUUGUAUGCUUUAUAUGUUAUAAUGGUUGUAUGUUACUGUAUGUUUACUGUAUAUAUAGUUUGUUGAUUAUUUGUCCACACUAUUCUGUUGUUUUUUAUUUGUUUGUUAUUUUUUGUUGUUUAAAUCUGAAGGGAGGUAGGCAAGUGAGAAGCACAUGUACAAAUGACAAUAAAACUUUUGAAUCCUUGAA